rnacentral:lncRNA from 1 species
AGUCUGUGUUAAUCAUGCAGAGUCAACAAACAUUCAUGGAGAGCUGACUGUGUGUGAGGCCGGGCGGCUCCCUGGGUUAUUUCCUUUGAGAACCAGACACUAAGCACUCUGAGAGCAGGGCCCCGACGGUUGGCUCCUGAGCAGCCUCAGCUCCUAGCGGAGCGCCUGGCAGACAGUGGGUGGCGCUCAGAGCAUGGAUGAAUGAAUGAGAGCUUCGAGGUAAACAUUCCUGCUCGCCCUGCACAGAAGUGAGGGACAGAGAAGGGACUUGAGGAGUAGACUGGCCUGGCUUGCUCAUGGUUGCCCAGCUAGGGCAUGGUGGAGACAGGCCUUCUUGCCUCCAAGCCCCCUGCUUCCCCUCUCUACAGGCCUCUGUCAGCAGCCUGUAGGAACGAAGGGGCUGGGGCAGCGUGGCUGCAGGAAGCUGCCCCUCUCCCUGGGAGUGGCUCCAGCGAAGAAGACCCGAGGCACGUGUGCGCCCGGGGAGCCAAUUCAAAGUGCACCAGGAGGCUCCCGGAUCUCCAGGCCUCUUCCCAGAAUAUUUCAACCCAAGAGAGCGCAUCCCAGGCUAGAGCUGCCUCCUGGGGGGAUGCAGCCAGCUGGCGGGCCCAGAGCCGCCAGGGCUUGCUUUCCCCUGAAGCACCUUCCAGGUGCCCAGGUCUUGGGGGCACUUAGGAGAGCAGGGAGGGUGUGUCUUGAAGGCCGGGAUCUUGAGAGGAGGAUCAAUCAAGCAGGCAUGGAGCUUCUUCCCGCCAACAGUUUUCCACACCGGGAGGCUCCGGUCCAGCGGUUGGCCGCCCAGCUGCCUGGCCCAGCAGUCUGUUUGUGCGAAGCUCUGCAGAGCAGUCCCGAGGGGAGAGAACGUGAUGACUAAUGGAGGCAAGUCCCAGCAGACGGGUGGGCGGGCCUGGCACGGUUUGGGCUUCUUGCUGACACAACACAGGCUCACAGCUCGGGCUGGCGGCGGCCCCUGGGAGGAGGGAGGCGCGGGCUCCUUGUAGGUGGGCACCUUUGUGGUUUCUCUCCACUCACUCAGAAGGGGUGCCAUCUGGUCAAGGGCUGAGCAGGCAGGCACCUGGAGGUCUGCAGCAGCACAGGGCCUGGCAGAGGACAGAGGCCAUAGGCCCAUCGACCGGGGUGGUGAUGGCGGUAAAAUUCUCACUGUCACUCCUGAGCUGUUUGACGUGAAGCCUGAAUCCCUCUGAGCUGCAGCUUUCUCACUCACGUUGGGGGUAUAACAAUAUCCUUGACUCCGCAGGGACACUGAAGAUCGAAUAACCUGACAAACCGAAAAUUGUUGUGUGACCAUGAGGGGUUUUGUGCUUUUACCCAAGAGCUGGGCAGGCGGCGUGCAGGCCAGGGGUAUUGAUCGCUUUGAGUAUGGUCAACCUCAGCGCCGUCUCAGGCUUAGAACAUGUCUUCUGUCCUCUCCAGAGUCUUUCCUUGUUACUACUUUGUUUGUCCUUGUGACAUGUGCCUGGCACCCUCAUCUCUGUGGCUGCACCUGUCCCCAGCUCUGUGCCACCCUGGACUCUGGCCAUUGCCCACCUGCCACAUUGGUUCCUGGCAUGUGCCUUCAAACAGGACACUGACCUCAGCAGAGGCUCUGCUUUCUCUUCCCUCUAUCAAGGACGUUAAUAAUGCUGUUGGCUUUAGAGGGUGUGAGUGAGAUACUAUAUGAGAAAGUGCUGGAAAGCUGUAUAAAUAAGCUUUUCUUAUUGCCGUUGACAACCACUCUUCCUCAAGCUGGGGUGGUAUUGGCAGUGUGACCGCUUCUUCAAGCCACACUCCAGGCUGUGUGAGUGCUUUUCUUUUCCUCACCUGUCCUUUCCCUUGGCCCUGAGUGAGUCCAGGGCCACAGCAUGGUGACCUCAUUGCUUCAUAAUGCAGAGUUGGGCAUGAGGUGGGGGUCCCCCCCUUCCGAGGCCCUCCCAUUCCCCUGGAUUAUCUUGUAACGCAGCCUCUGAAUGCACCCAGGAGCCCACCACACUCAGCUGGGUGCAGGCGAGCGAACUUCCAAAAGAGGCUGGGAUGAUAGACGCUUCCCAAAGAAAGUAAGCCAAACCAGGGGCUGCCCUCCUCCUGUGACCUCCCCCUGCCCCACGGAACAGGUUUUAUGGAGCGUUGACUUUCUUCCUAAAGGUUCCUGAGAUGUUGGCCACCCUGACACUAAGGAAGAAAUUCUUUAAAAGGAAAAAAAUGAGGCAGAUUUUUGUAUGACAAAGUCAGGAGUCUCAGUUAAGGACCUGUGUCUUGGAAACAGCAUGCACCUCUUGCAGGAGAUUUUAGAAGGUGGUGAGCUGCUCAGUGCUACAACUGCAGCAGCCAUGUCUGUGGGUGAAGGCGGGAAGUGUCAGCUGUGCAGGAAUUGAGUGCCGGAGUGUUUGUGCCGGAAUGAGGACUGUGGAAUCACACGGUCGUUUCCAAGUGGAACUGGGCGGGGUUACGAGAUUUUGUAUUGAUUAUUGGGCCUUCCUCUUGUGCCACACUGAGUCUGAGACCUUUAAUCUAGAACCCACUAGCCCCAUGUAGCUAUUUAAAUUUAAAUAAAUUGAAACAAAAUAAAUUUAAAAAGUCAGUUCCUCAGGCCCACUAGCCGUAUUUCAAGCGCCCAAUAGCCACAUCUGGCCAGUGGCUACUGUGCUGAAGAGCACGGAUGUGGAGCAUUUCUAUCAUCACACGAAGUUCUUUUGGACAGCGCUGCUCUGAUCUGCCCCAAACAUUCUUGUGUUUGGGGGUGGGAGGCCACAGAGGAAAUGAGAAAAGUUAUUUAAGAAAUGUGAAGAGGAAGAACAACUUAAUUUUCAGCUGUUGACAUUCAUAGUCUGAUCCUUCAACAAUAAAAUAGCUGCGCAAGACAGGCUAUUGUCUCGAAAAACAAAUCUCCACAUCUCUUGACCUCCCCCUCUAACAUUUCAGCAACUGAGCCUGGACAAUUCUGCUCAAAGAUUUCUCCACAGCAUGGAGGAGAGCCAGGCGUAGCAAGUCGGGGGCAAAGAGGGCGUGAGGUGGCAGAAGAAAAGUACCAGACACAGGAUGUAUUUUCUGAAGUGUAGGCAGAGUAUGUGUUCUUCGUGAAGAAUACAGGCAGGAGAAGAAAAGGACUGAGGACUGGGAAGCAGCUGGACCCAUGUCUGCUGAAUUGUCCUUUCAAGGCCCGACUGGUGAGAGGCCGGGGUGUUCAGCAGGAUGAAGCCCCCGUUAAAAGCAGAGUUUGCCCCCCAUCGGCUUGGUGCAAAGCCACCUUAAGUUCAACCUGCCACACAGGGUGGCCUUGGGAGGCCCUGUGGGCUUGCCUUUGGUCACCUUGUGGUGUAGACACUGAGCUGGCAGCCAGGGAGCCUGCCAUGGUAUUGGCCUCCAUGUAGAGGCUGGCAUUGGACUUCCAGGGCACUGCACUAGAUGGGGGAUGGGUAAAGACUCAAUGUCUGUUGCUGGUGGUGGACAAGACAAAGCCAACACAGCCUGAGGUAGAUCCUUGAUUCUGAUCAAGAUAAAGAAGAUCAGCCAUGGAAAGAUCCACAGGCAGACUUCUCCUGGGUAGACGAAGAAUAGUAUCCAGACUAGGGAAGGUUGAAAAUAUCAAACCCAAGGUCUCUGAUCCAUUCUUGCUGACAUAGGAUGAGCAACCCCCUUCCUCUCAUGCACCCAGAGACCCUCUGAUGGAAAGAAGCAGGAGGCAGGGAAGCCCUGUCUUAGUAACUGAAAAAUUUUACGCCAAUGAGUGUGUGUAUUUCCUGAAAAAGCUGUUUGCUUGAUUAGAUCAGGGUAAGUUUAAACUGGACUUCAUUAGGAUUUGCUUGUUAACCAGUGAGUGGAGACUCCGCAGGGGAAAGCUCAGAUUAGCUAUUGGCAAACUGAAGCAUCACAUUUUCUCUGUUCAUCUGGGUUGUGGUGGGAGUUGAAUCUAGAGACCUCACUAUGUAAGCAAAGAUGAGAAUCAACACCCCACAGAAGACAAGAGCAAUGCGACAAGAGCAAUGUGAGACCCAGAGAGAAGGCCCUGACUAAGUGGCCACAGGGACUUCAGCCACACAGAUUCAGAUGAUCUCCUUUGUCAUGGUGAGAAGGAGGUGGAGCUUGCUCUCAGAACCUACUGGAUAAGUCAUCAUACACGUCCUUCAUGGUUAGUUAUAUCAUGGCAUAUCAGUUGAGAUACUGCAAGUGAUGCAAAACCCAACUCAAAUCAUCAACAAAGGGAGUUUACUGCUUCCUGUAACGAAGUCCAGUUACUGCCCCAGCUUCAGCUAUGGCUAGAUGCGGGGCUCAAAUGAUGCCAUCAACUCUCAGCCUAAACUCUUCUCUCGGCUCUGCUAUUCUUUGUCUUGGCUUCAUUGACAAGUAAUUCUAUGGUGGCAAUAUGGCUGCCAACAGCUCCACAAACCCAACAGGAAGAGCUCAUGCCCUUCUCCCCAAAGUCCCAUAAACUGUCUCAUUGCUUUUCAUCGGCGCUGACUGCGUCUGAUAUCCAUCUUUCAUCCAAUUGCUGUGGCUGGGAGAAUUCAGUGCUCUAAUCGGCUAGGUUCAGUUCACAUGUCUGCCUGGAGGCAGGGGUGGAGUUAACUCCACCUGCAACACAUGGACAGAUGGGGGAAGGAGAAAGGAUGCCGAGCACUCCAAAAAGCUGUGGAGUAGACUGUAUUUGGUAAUUAUUAUACAGGACAGUGGAUUUAAUCAUUCUCAAAACAUUGUUUUGUUAUCGUCAAAAGAACUUAAGCUUUAGGUUAUGGUAGUAGCUAUCUACCAGAAGCCACUUGACUUAUUUCAGUAUCGCGCUCAAGAUUCUGAUGCUCGGCGUGGAUGGAAGGGCGUGCUCUCUCAGAAUGUGUCAGGGCACACUGCAUGUUAGGAAGGCAUGCUUUGCAGCGCCCGUUCUCCUGAGUCCAUGGAAAAUGUUGUGGCCACAGGGGUCAUUAAUGUCUAACCUGUUUUAUUCUGGUUGCAGUUCUGAAGCCCAGACCAUUGGGAUCCCCUGGAAUUUGCCCUUGGGUCACAGCAAACUUUAAGAUAUUGUUGAGGAGGUUGUGCGUAUUUGCAUGAACAUCAAGGUGAAAUAUUUUUAGUGUUUUUCGUAUGGUUGCCAUUUGUUUUUCUUUCUCUUUCUUUUCAUUUACUGCGAUUGAUUCAAACCCCUUAAGCCUGAAGAGAACGUACGACCAAGGAGACCCUAAAACUGCGGGGAAUGCAACAGUGGAGACCUUGGUCAAAGGAUGUCCGACAACAGUCAAAGUCUCAUUAUGACGUUCCCCUGGACUUCAUUUGUAGGGACGGAUUGAAUAUCGUCCCCCCAAAUUCGUGUCUACCUGAAUCCUUAGAAUGAGAUUUUACUGGGAUAUAGAAUUUUUGCAGAUAUCAUCAGUUUAGAUGAGGCCAUACUGUCCUUGUAAGAGGAGGAGAGGUCACAGAGAGACACUCACAGGGAAGAAGGCCGUAAAGACAGAGGCAGAGAGGGAAACUACCAGCAAUCUUGGCAGCCACGAGCCAGGGAAUGCCGAGGGCUGCUGGGAGCCACCAGAAGCGGGCAGAGAGGAGGACGGAUUCCUCCCUGAGCCUGCAGAGGGAACACAGCCCUGUUGACCCUUGAUCUCAGACUUGUAGCCUCCAGCACAGUGAGGGAACAAAUUCCUGUUGUUCUACGCCCCUCAGUUUGUGGUGCUGUGUUACAGCAGCCACAGGGAACCAAUACAGGGGCUUUUCAAGAAACCUAAGGCCUGGAGCAAAACACAAGUCAGACAACAGAAACGCUGACAUGGGGUCCCCUUGCAGGCCCCUGGACAGGGCCUGUUUGAAGGAUUUCCACUUCGAGACAAAGGUGGCCUGUGCACGCCAGAUUCUUGUAUUAAGGCUGUCACGAUUGACUGCAGUUUGCAGACCCAAGGGCGGGAGAAGGGCCUGGAGUCUUGUCUGUCCUCUAUCAUCAAAGUCCCAGGUGCUGGUGCGAGGCCACAUUGCCCUGGGUUUCCUUUUCUUUACUGCUCUGUCUGUUCCUCAAGCUGUGUGCUGCGGGGCUGAGGCUGCCCAGAGGGGAUGUCACUAACUAAUCCACACGAAGGCACCAUAGAGACUAGCAGUGCCCCUAAUCUGGCUAUAGACAUGCCCAACAUUGCCCACCUCAGACAGAAUUCUUCAUUCUUUCCAUAAGUACACACACACAUGCACAUGCACACAUUUCCAACAUUUGGUCAGUCCUUGUUAUUUGCCGAUUCUGUGUUUGGGAAUUCGUCUAUUCGCUAAAAUUUAUAUGUAACCCCCAAAUCAGUACUCACCGUGCUUUUUGGUCAUUCGUGGACAUGCAGCAAACAUUUGGGUCUUCCGAUGUGCACGUUCCCAGCUGAGGUCAAGCAAGGUGACCCUCUGCCUUCUUGUUUCAUACUGUAAACAAAUGUCUCUUUUGCGAUCUAUGUAGUGCCACCUUUUUCUGCUUUUUUUUGGUGAUUUUGCUGUUUAAAAUGGGCCCCAAGUGUAGGGCAGAAGUGCUGUCCGGUGUUCCUAAGCAUAGGAAGGCUGUGGCGUGUCUUCCCGAGAAGAUACAUGUUAGACAAGCUUCAUUCAGGGGUGAUUUAUCGUGCUGUUGGCCGUGAGUUAUGUUAAUGAAGCAACAAUAAAUAUUUGAAAAGGUACCUUUAAACUGAAACAGACAUAAAAUGAGGUUAUGCAUUAAUCAGUUGAUGAAACCAGAGGCUCAGAGGAAUCUGACCCUUAUUCGCCCAGAGCAACAGUUCAGUGUUCACUAAUUCAGUGUUCGCUGAGACUUUCCGGAACAUAACCACUGCGAAUAACACAGUCGACCGUGUGUCUUUCCUCUAGGCCCUGUGAGGUGAAUGGCGAUGAGUCGGUGAGCAUCGCUGCCCACAAGCACCCGUCUCUGUUAACAAAGUGAAGAAAGCCCCAGCGUCCUGGAGCCCUAGGAAGUUCUAGGUGCAUGUCUGUGGAGCCCUGGUUUCUUUAUAUGAAAAUGUCUAAGUGAUGGGGUCAUCAUGGAAGUCAAAUAACAAUUCACGGGAAAGAACUGCAUGAAUUUACAAGGGGCCAGGCAAAGGGUGGUAGUUGUAAUCAUUAAGCCAUCCUAGUGUUACCCCAGGCUCCUCCCCACCACGCUCUCCACUAGCCCAGUGUUCCAGUCCAGCUAGCCCGCCAGAUGUUCCAGAUGUUCCUCUCUGCCUUGGCUCUGGCUCUUCUCCUUCUCUGUGUGUCCAAAUGCUGCCUUUCCCUCAAGACUCAAUUCAAAUUUUAUUGCUCUUAUGGAACCUUCUUUUGAUUCCUCCAGCAGGAUGAAACCUCUCUGUCCUAUGAACUUCAUAUACAUUGUCUGCACACAUUUGAUGUCAUUUGCCACGUUGUGCCUUAUGUGGCAGCCGUUUGUGCGAAAGUUUUGUAUUCUGUAUGUGCAGGGUCCUUGAGGACCAGGACCGUGUCUUACGGAUGCCUCUCUCCCACGCUUUUCUUAGCAGUGGCUUCCACACAGCAUGUGCACAACACCUUGUUGACUGUGGUACGCAUAUUCCAUGCUGAUCAACCAGCCAGCCUUCUUGACAUGUGCUCUAACUUUCGAGGUUUCUUUGAAAAGUAUGACUGUCUCGGGACACUCAAUUCUGCACAAGUGGUCUGAUUCGAGUGUUUUAGGAGGGCUAGUGACAACCUCCACAUGCAGUUUGGGACCAGGAUGGGCUGAAGACAAUUGUAGGACAGUAGCUGUCAUGGAUUUGGGCUAAGAAGGGUCAGAAUCAGUGCAGUGGAAAACACCAAGGAAGAACUUAAUGGGACAAUCCUUCCAAUAAAGACAUUGCCCAAAAAUGAACUAUAGGUGUUAACUCUAGGUGUUAUAGAUAACAUCAUCCCCUUCUACCCACUGCCACCCAUAUUUGUUUUCCUUCUGAGGGAAUUUAUGGAGGAGGAACCAAUCCCUUUUACCCUCCCCCAAAAUGGAGCGUGGAUAGGUAUUAGAGGAUAUGUUUGCUCUCAGCCCUGUGGAGUUGGUUUGAUCUUUACAGACAGGGGGCUGGAGGUUGGCACUAGCUGCUGAUAGAAGUAUUUGAGAGACUACGAGAGUGUUCUGACAGAGCCGCUUCAGGGCCAGGGAGACCAAAGGCAGCCCCAAGCAGGGCUGCUGGCUCUUCUCCUGCCUUGCCAGGAGCCAGGUUUCUAGGGAAUGGAAAUGGUGGGAGCACCUGGAGUUGCCCUGGCAGAGGCAAUGGGCUGGGGUGAGGUGAGGCUACUCCAACAGGCCUUCUUGGGGGUAGUAUGGGCAGGUGGGAGGCUGAGUGGGAGCAGAAGGAUGAGGCAGAGGUUGCACAGAUGCAGACUGGUUUUGAGGGCACCUGAGAAGCAACCUUCUAGAACUCCCAGAAAUGACACGGGCACUUUAGGGUACUGAGUCCUUGCUACUGCUUGGGGUGGGGGUAACUGUGGAGCUGGCAAAUGUUUGGGUGCCAUCUUACUUCCAAAAGGGACUUGGUGAGGCUCAGGGGCACAAUAGAAGCAUAACUUAUUGCCAACGAUGGGGCACUUGAUUAGAAUGUUUUAUUUAUUCUGAUGAUCAAAAUUCAAAUGGUACAAAAUGGUGCACAGUGAAAAAUUGCAUCCAAUUUCUCUUUCCCAGAUGUUUAGUUUUCCUCCAUAGAGGCAAUCGAUGUUACAUUUCUUGUCUAUCUUUAGAGAUAUUCUAUGCAUAUGAAAGUAUACGCCUAUAUUCUCUCCACCAUUUUGUUGGUACAGAUGACAACAAUGUAUGUUACAUAUUGUCCUGCACUUUGCUUUUUUCACUUAACAUUAUAUCCUUAAUAGCAUGGUUUCCCUAAGAACUACCCCUCCCCCUCCUUUUUAAUAGCUGCGUAAUAUUCCAUUAUAUGGACAUACUGUAAUCUACUUAAGCAAUGUUCCCUAUUGAUGAACAUCUAGGUGUUUUCUCCUAAUUCUUUGCUAUUAUAAAUAGUGCUACAAUGAAUAAUCAUGUGUGUGUAUAUACAUAUAUAUAUAUAUAAUCUCACAUAUAUAUGAGAAUACAUGUGUUCGACAAUUUCUUGCAAAUAGAGUUGGUAGGUCAAAGAUGUGUACAGUUGUAAUUUCUAUGAACAUUACCAAAUUACACUUUAGAGAGGUUGUACCAAUUUAGACUCCUUCCGUCAGCUUAUGAGCUUGCCUAUUUCCCUACACCCUUGCUCACAAAGUUGCCAACAAGGUAUGUUACCAAAAUUUUUGAUCUGUGCCUAUCUGAAAGGCAAAAAAUGGUAGAGAAUAUAGUUUUAAGUUGUUUUUCUCUUAUUAUGAAUGAGGUUGAGCACACUUUCCUAUAUUUAAGAUCCAUCUUUAUUUCCUUUCCUAUCAACUACCUAUUCAUAUCCUUUGCCCAUUUUUCUGUUGGUGUUUGGUCUCUUAAUUUUGCAAUACUUUUUGUAUAUUAGAGAAACUUGAGUUGCAAACUUUUUUUAUCAAUUUAUGCUUUGUAAUAGAUCACUUUAAAUAACUUAGUAAAUCGUAGUAUUGACCUAGUUUAGCUACUCCAUUUACUUGAAAAGUAUACAAUUACUUUCCUGAAAAAGAAUAUUGCACAAAUUAAAUAUUCAUGAUUGUGGAGACUUCCCUAUUCAGAUAUAGAACAUCCUGAUAAAUAGUGAUUGAAAUAGUCAAGAAACACUUACACAACACCUCUGUUUCACACUGUGAGAAACACGAACACGUAGGUUUCAAAAUCCAUGAUUGAGUAAGUCAGCAGUGAUGGGCCAGUGAGAUGACAGGAACUGGGGACAGAGGAGUGGGCAAGGCGUGUUUGGGCAGAGCCAGGAAAGGGUGGGAAUCCCUUUUGCUGCCUGGAGCAGAACCCUGCGUGAAGCAGGUGAGUAUUCAGGAGUCCUCGGGAGGACAGGAGCAGUGUGGUGAUCUAAAGUCAUGAGACAAGGCCUUAGAGAGGGCAAGUCGGCAGCAGAUGUGCCCAGCGCUGACGAAGGAAUCAAGGCCCCCUGCCUGGAAAGACCAGCUUUCUCACGAGCAAACUUCCUUUGCCUCUUCUGAAUCUGGGGCCAUAAAAAAAAUCUGUGACCUCUUCCCCUGAUAUCCCCAGUCCAAACCAUUGCCCAGAGCCCCCAGACUAGACUCCUAGAAGCCCCAAACCAGUGAUGAAGGUGUAAUUCUAAGCCAGGCUGGAGGUAGGCGGUACAACUUCAGGCCGCUCCGCCUCCCUCUUCAGUUCCUGCCUUGGGCCCCAUUCCGCUGUUACAAAAGCUAAGGAAAAGCAAAGAAGAAACAAAUGGAUUUGUUUUUCUCUAAAGAAUAAGAGUAGCUGGCAGAGCUCAGGCCUUCUAGGCAUGGUGGGACGAGACACCGACAGAGGUUAAGGAGGCCAAUGCCAAACACAGACUAAGACGUGUUAUCUACAGCAGCAGCAGUCAACCAACAAUUUUUGAUAGCUAUUAUAGUUGUAGCUCAGUAAACCCUUUUUUGUUGAUUAGGUUGGUUCGCUCAUUUGGCCCAUUUGUAUGCUAGCCCUGCAAAAUUUCUCUGGUUAGACUUAAAAUGUUGGAAAUCUGCUUUUUGUAAGAUCUAGGAAUGCAUCCUUCCCAAUUCCUUACUUUCUGUCCGUCCUAUGCUUUUUGGCUAAGUUUCACAAAUUUGGAUAUAAAUACAGAUCAAAUUUCAGCUUAGAUGCACAGAGGAUUGGACUAGCCAAAGCCAUCUUCAAGUGCGGUCAUCAAUAAACAAGUCGUUUCUGUAACAAUAUGAGAACGGCCAACUGAUUGCCUAUUUGUGCCAGCCACUGUGCAUACCUUCUCUCUAAGCUUCCCAACUGUCCAAGGCAGGUAUGACACUCUCUGUUUCACAGAAUGAAGCAACCUGAAUUUAGAAAGAUUAAGUAAUUAUCCAAGAUUAUACAGCUAGUAAGUGACGGAGCUGGGAUUUGAACCCAGUUCUGUAAACCCAAAGCCUGAACUACUACCCUGUGCUACAUUCUCCACUACCAAGUUUCCGUUCUAAACCACCAGAUUUAGGGCUCUGUAGCACCUCAGCUUUGUUUCAGUUUUCUAAACCCAAAAUGCUAGGUCUUGAUCUAAAUGAUAAACAUUGUUCUCAAGAUACUGGUGACCCCACAAAGGAUAAUAAUUACAUGUUCAGUGCAAUUGAAGAGCAAUUACAUACAUACACACACACACACACACACACACACACACACACACACACAUCUACAAUGAAUUGCUGAACCACAGGUUGUAGAUGACAGAGGCGUUAGUAGCUUAGAGACACAUUUGAUACCAUGAACUGAAAUCACUGGGGAAGGCUUUCUUCAAGAAAAUAGGUUCUGUUUUGGACCACAACAGGCGAUUAGGAUUUUGAGAGGCUGAAAAGAAAGAAGAGGCUAGCUUUGGCUUCUGGCAGUGUGGUAGAUUGGGUGUCCUAGAAAAACUCCCCAUACAAUAUAGCUAAACUUGCUGGAUACAAAAUCCCUUUGAAAUAGAUCACGGAGCGUGUGAAAGGGUGAGAGUAAUUCCUAGGGGCUAAAAACCGAGAGUUGCUGGUGUUUUGGUAGUCCUGGCUGUCUAGAGCAGGGAUUAGCAAACAUUUUCUGUAAAGGGCCAGAUAGUAAAUAUUUUUGGCUUUAUGAGCCCAUAUGAUCUCUGUUGCAACUACUCACCUCUGCCUUUGUAGUGUGAACACAGCCACAGACAAUACAUAAACAAAGGGAUGUAGGAGGAUUUGACUGGCAGUAAGCUGGAAUCGGGCUGGGGUCCAUACUUUGCCAAUCUCUAAUCUAGAGUGUUGGAGUUUAAUGCCUUUUGUGGAUCUUCUGAUCUUGGGCCCACACAAGGUGAGAAGAUAGAACUGAGACAACCCUCACACAUAUAAACAGGAUCCCUGGAAAGUGUGGACUAGGAGAAUGUGGUCCCUGGCAAAGAAAAACAGACGAGGAAACUUGUCUUAUCAGGCUGGGCUCUGUGUGAAAAAAGAAAAGUAUCUCUGUGUGAAUUUGUUACUAGAGGUAGGCCUACUCAUACGGGAUUGGGGUUUAAAUUUAUACUACCUGCAAAGUACAGGAAACUUAGAGCUACAAAUUUAACUGAAAAUGGUUCUUGAUUGGUAGUGCCUUAGCACCUUACCAAACAUGAGUCCAUAAUCCAAAAUUACAAACCACACCAGGAAACAAGCCACUGUGAGCAAGUGUCAACAGACACGACAAAUGGAGGAAGGAUUCUCUCAAGGAUUUGAUGUAUUACAAUUCUUACUUAUGGGAAAUGUUAAAAGAAAUAAAAAGAGAGAUGAAAAAGAAUAGAGGCUAUUUCAGGCAAGGGGGAGAACAGAGGCAAAGAUUCAGUGGUGGGGAUGAGAAUGUGUUGAGGGGCAAGGAGGAAACAGUCCUAGGUAGGGUUCAUAUGAGGGUGCUAACGAAUGAAUGAAUUAAACGUUGAUUAAACUCGUAGUGCUCAACCAGCACCAUGCCGGGCAUAGUAGUGGAGAUGAAUAAGAGACACAGGCUCUGCUCUCAAGGAGAUUCCAGUCUAGGAGAAUCAGGUAAAGAAAUAAACCCCGCAAAACGUGAUGGAUACUUUAAUUAAAGAAGGUAUAAAAUAUAGCAGAGGCGAAGGAGGAGUGGCCCAUUCUACCCAAGGAAGUCAAGGCAGUUCCUGGAGGAUCUUAUGCUUGAGCCAAGCUUAAAGGAUCUGUGGAGUCUGCACUUUAUCCUGUAAGUGAUGGGGAACUACUGCAUGGUUUAAGGAGGGAUGUAAAGUGAUCGGAUUUAGAAUUUAAAAAAAUUAUUAAAGCUGCAGUACACUGAAUAGGACAGAGAGUGAAGAAGUGAGAGACAGGAAGACCAAAUGUGACAUUGUUUGGAGAGUCAUGAAAAGAUAAAGCAGAAGUGUAGGUGGAUUUGAGAGAGAGUUUAGAAUUUUGCUCAUUUGGGGAGAACAAACAGUAAUGACACAAUUUUAGUGGCUGUGUCUUCACUGACGACCCCGUAGCCCCACACCACCCCUUCCCAAGUGUUUCUGGGAGUUCUGGGGGUUGUCUUAAAAGCGCUGGUGGAUGAUUCCUCCACGCCCUGCCCUGUGGUGCUUCUGCCACUGCAGGCUGUUGUGCUGUGACCUGGGCAGGGUGGGGUGCAAUGCUCUUUCUUAUCCUUUGGUGUUCAGUGUCCUGGAGGAGUGCUGUGUGUUCCCUAACGAUUAUGCAGCUUUCAUAAAAUGGUUCUUUCAGCUGUUACUUACAGACUCCCUGCUCUCCAGGAACCUCAGAGGAGGACGGUGAGAAAGAAGUCCACCUGCUAGAGCCCGUCCUCAUAGUGCCCUGGCUUCUGACAGCCCAGCUCAUUGUGCCUGGCUCUUUCUGCCCUUAGACACCCUGCAAGAGCUAAAGCAGAGUGUGAGGGAGGGGAUGGAUUUGGUUCUCCCCGCAUGUUGCUUAGCUCCCUUGCAAUGGGCUUUGCUGAGCCUUCUCUGCCUGUUUGCCAGAAAUGCCUGCCCUGGGACCCAAGUGGGCCAUCCAUACAAUAUGGGACCUAGAGCUCUGAGUCACCAAUAAGAUAUGGAGUGAGGGUAGAGAGGAGGCUGGAAAGAUUUUCAGGACUAAUGGAAAGAUUUUUGGAAAGACUAGUCAAAGUGUUCAAUGCCUGUCUAAUGAAUCUAUUUCCGCCAUAAGUUAGUGUUUCUCCAAGAGUGGGCUGCUUCGUGUCAGCCUCUGAAUUACUUGGGGAGCUGGCUCGAAGUUUCCGUUCUGGCCUAUCUGAAUCGGACGCCCCGGGAAGUGGAGCUGGGGGUCCUCGCACUUUUAACCAGCGCUGCCUUGGGAUAGUUUGAGAAGCCACACACGUUUGUGUGAUUGGGUCCGUAUGUCGUCUCUUUAGGUAAGUUGAAGGCUCCUGAGUGUAGGUGCUGUGUCUAAAGCUUUUCUUGCUUCUCCGCAAGCACAGGCACAUGGUUAGUAUACAGUAUAUAUUCAGUGAAGUGGAACAAAAGGAUGAAAUACUGACAGCAGAAUUACUGCGUUUAUAAACUGCCCCCUCCAACAACAUGGCAUUUGACACUCAUUCAUUUCUUUAAUACUCUUUUAUUCUGCAAAUGUUUAUUAGUGCCAUUUCUAGGCCGUGCACUGUGCUGGGUGCUGAGUCCCAAGAGAAUUAAAGUGACAGAGAGGCGGGGGCCCUGGAGAAGGGAGAAGUGGGUAUGCAUUGAUGGGUGAGAAUUUUCAGAAAAAAGAGCUGCCCCCAGAACAGAGAAAGUGACAAUUUCUUAGGCUUUCCUUGGGUUGAGUUAUAAUUUCUGCAUUGUUCUGUAUUUCCAAAUGAAGAAAGACACCUCAAUUCCUUCUAAUUCCCCAGCUUCAGGGCAUGGCGGGCAGAUUGAAGACUCUUGGAGGCAGGAGAUAAAGGGAAGCGUCAUGUUCCCUUGGUCCUGUUUGAUCUUUAUACCAUCAACACUGGGCUCUGAGCUUCCCUGUUCCCUUCCCCUCCUUCAAGGUCACCCAGAAGGGCGUAGGCUCUUUGAUGUUCAAAGAAAGUUUGAACAACAUGCCUGGUCCUUUGUGGCUGAGUGUGCUGCUGGCAGACAUUUCUGACUCAAGUCGGGGCAGACUCAAUUCCUCAUCUCUUUCUGAGGCAGAUCCCAAAGCUGUUAGGAGGAGGAUGAGCAUGUUUUUUUAACAAUAAAAUUCCUUUUUUCUGGGUCUCAAAUGGAGUUUGACCCUUACUCAUCUCCCUUCUCUCAAGCUUAUUCCUGAGCAGAAAAUCCUCUCCUUAAUUUCGGCUCUGUCAGAGUAGCAAGGAACGCUCAGGGACCAGCAGACCUCCAAGAAUAGCGAUGCAUUCAGGCAAAACUCACAAGGCCACGCUGAGCAUGUACCUCUGAAGCAAACAACUUCAGGAACCUCUAAGGAACAGAUGCUCACAACCCCAGAAGGAAACAAAAAGCAUAACUUUUCCAUUAGUUAAAUCUUUUAACACUGUUUUGAGGCUGUCUCUGUGUUGUGGGAAAAAGUCAGGGGUCUGCACUUCAGCUGUUGUGAACAGAGGUCUUCCUUUGGGUGCCAGGGAGGCCUCAGGGCGCGGAUGGCUUAGGAGAGGUGGCGCAGCUGCUCCCCGGCCAGGUUACAGCAGGAGCAGGAGACAGCUUUGCGAUUUCUCAACACUGAGAGAAGCAUGACAUGAGGGAAGGAGGGUGUGUGUGUUAUUUUGCCUCCUUUGGUCACUCAGUGACUUCACGGAAUGAGGAUUUAGAAAAAGGAUACGUGAUCAUGUCCCAGUGUCCCCGGAUAGAACUGUAUAGCUGCCCUCAAAGACCCGGGAGCAAAAUUCGAGAACAGGGAAGAUGCAGCUCCAGUCACUAUGUUAUCUACCUCCACCCUCUCCUCCCCAGCCUUGGCAUUUAUUGGCCCCUAUAAUUAUGGUGACUCAGAAUGUCUAGUUGCUGCCUCUCGCCCUCAGGUGUUAUGUAUAUUUAUUCUGUUGACUCAGAGCUUUGGCUUACACAUUGAUACUGCUUACUCUUGGGCCCUCAUGACCUGUCUUCUUUCUAUGUCUUCUUUCUGUGUGUUUUUUAAAUGCCUCCUCUUCCCCCCCCCCGGCAAAAAAAAAACCCAAUUAGCUAUUGACUCUCUUUCCUUGUAUCUCUUGUUAAAAUUCAAGAGACAGAGAAUUUGAUUGGCUCGAGUGAAUCAUCAAUAUCCUUUGUGGGCAAUGCUCUUCAGUCCAAGACACUUCAUGGGUCGCUGUUCAACCUAUAGACUGGCCAACCUGGCCAACCUAGAGGCAGGAUUCACCCCUACCCAACCAGCUUGACCAGAGGUCCCGAUGACCUGUUCACAGCAGAGCAACAGAUACAAGAAAGCAUCUGAGGUGGGGCUGGCCCUGUGGCCGAGUGGCUAAGUUCGCGCACUCCGCUGCAGGCGGCUCAGUGUUUCGUCGGUUCGAAUCCUGGGUGCGACAUGGCACUGCUCAUCAAGCCACGCUGAGGCAGCGUCCCACAUGCCACAACUAGAAAGACCCACAACUAAGAAUAUACAACUAUGUACCGGGGAGCUUUGGGGAGAAAAAGGAAAAAAAUAAAAUCUUAAAAAAAAAACCAAAAAAGUAUCUGAGGUGUGUCCCCCAGGUGGGUGGAGUGGGCUGAGCAGUUUCCUUAAAAGUGGAUAUAGCUGCCAUUUUGAAAAAUGGUCUGCUUAGUGCAGUGGCUUUUGGGGAAAGACAGAUCUGGGUUUGGAUUGUAGUUCCACUUAAUAGCUAUUCCUUAGGUAGGUUACUUAAUCUUUCUGAGCUCAUUUCCUUACCUAUAAAAAUGGGGAUGGGUAUACUAUACUGUAGCAAUGUGUGAAUUAGAGAGAAAUUAUUGGCAGUAUCUAGCAAAUAAUGGGUGCUCAGGUGCGCCAUAAAUAGUUUUUAUUAUGGCAAU